rnacentral:rRNA from 1 species
CCUACGGGGGGCAGCAGUGGGGAAUAUUGGACAAUGGGGGCAACCCUGAUCCAGCCAUGCCGCGUGUGUGAAGAAGGCCCUCGGGUUGUAAAGCACUUUCAGUGAGGAAGAACGCCUGGUGGUUAAUACCCAUCAGGAAAGACAUCACUCACAGAAGAAGCACCGGCUAACUCCGUGUCAGCAGCCGCGGUAAUACGGAGGGUGCGAGCGUUAAUCGGAAUUACUGGGCGUAAAGCGCGCGUAGGUGGCUUGAUAAGCCGGUUGUGAAAGCCCCGGGCUCAACCUGGGAACGGCAUCCGGAACUGUCAAGCUAGAGUGCAGGAGAGGAAGGUAGAAUUCCCGGUGUAGCGGUGAAAUGCGUAGAGAUCGGGAGGAAUACCAGUGGCGAAGGCGGCCUUCUGGACUGACACUGACACUGAGGUGCGAAAGCGUGGGUAGCAAACAGGAUUAGAUACCCUUGUAGUC